UGGGGAAUUUUGGACAAUGGGGGCAACCCUGAUCCAGCAAUGCCGCGUGUGUGAAGAAGGCCUGCGGGUUGUAAAGCACUUUAGGUGUGGAGAAAGUUAUGGGUGUUAAUAGUAUCCAUGAUUGAUGUUACACACAGAAUAAGCACCGGCUAACUCUGUGCCAGCAGCCGCGGUAAUACAGAGGGUGCAAGCGUUAAUCGGAAUUACUGGGCGUAAAGCGCAUGUAGGUGGAUAGACAAGUUUGAUGUGAAAGCCCUGGGCUUAACCUGGGAACGGCGUUGAAGACUGUGUAUCUAGAGUUUGGCAGAGGGUCGUGGAAUUUCCGGUGUAGCGGUGAAAUGCGUAGAGAUCGGAAAGAACACCAGUGGCGAAGGCGGCGGCCUGGGCCAAAACUGACACU
rnacentral:rRNA from 1 species